rnacentral:rRNA from 1 species
UUCCACCUACGGGGCGCAGCAGUGGGGAAUAUUGGGCAAUGGGCGCAAGCCUGACCCAGCAACGCCGCGUGAAGGAAGAGGGCUUUCGGGUUGUAAACUUCUUUUGACAGGGAAGAGUAGAAGACGGUACCUGUCGAAUAAGCCACGGCUAACUACGUGCCAGCAGCCGCGGUAAUACGUAGGUGGCAAGCGUUGUCCGGAUUUACUGGGUGUAAAGGGCGAGUAGGCGGGAUUGCAAGUCAGAUGUGAAAACUAUGGGCUCAACCGGUAGAGUGCAUUUGAAACUGCAGUUCUUGAGUGAUGGG